rnacentral:lncRNA from 1 species
UGAUCGUCUCGGAAAUUUUUUUAUCGGUGAUUGAUGGGAACCGGUAUGGUGGGGUCCAUUUCUUACCAUUCAUUCCAGUGAGUUCCUUAAAUAAUUGUCUGGCCCCACAGUGAGCUUUUAAAAAGGACACGUGUCCAACAACGGCUAUAUAAUGUAUCAUGCUAAUGUAAUAUUUUUGACACGUAGUAAGUAAUAUCGAAUUUCAAUUCGGAAACUAUUAAUGCACUUUUUUUGGUGACAGUGAUAUUUUGCUACUGUAUUUUUCCAUAUCAACUAUUAAUGCACAUUCGUUUUUUUUAUAUAUGU